UGAAUCACCUCAAUGGAACUGCUAUUCUUUUGUGUGUGUUACAAAAAUCUCAGUUUCUAAAGUGUUUCCUGAAGUUGAGCCCCUGUGGUAAUGUAACUUCUUCCACGUAUUAUGGUAGUUGUAUUUCAGUAGGUCUGGAGGAGUCUCAGAGUGACAGCUCUUAAUGCACUGAGGUAGCAUCCUGUACUAACUGGGUGUGAAUGUAUAGACAAGCCUCUAAUGCUGUUUUCUUUGUGUUUAGGAAGCAGAUGCAGCAGUUUGAGUCAGGACUGAGCUGGAAUUACAGCAAUGGGUGACUCGAUAAAGAGCCCUGUACUAUGCCUGUGAAGAUAAUGGGAUGCCUGCUGUUGGCACCACUGGGGGCAGCCUGCAGCCUUUACAAGCAAGAUUUGCAUCAGGAGGGGAGAGAGCAGCCCCCACUGUUCCCAUCCUUCACUAUCCUGUGUGCUGGGAGACAGCUGGAGUCCCGGGAGACACUGUGGACCCCGUCCCAUGGGAGGAACACCUCUGAGCCUGCAAGCUGGGGAGCAGCAUGGGGGUGCCCACUUUCAGCUGCUUGAGAGUAACUUCAGAAAGGUCAGACAGGAGUCACUGGACUUCAUCAGCAUGAAGUGCUUUCUUGCAUCCCUAUUGUGGUUUCCUGGACACUGUCAGCAUGAUUGCUGUGCUGGCAGACAGCAAGGUUCCCAUCCUGGCAGGAUUCAGGACAGCAAAUGUUUGUGCUGGAGAGUCUAUCUGCAGCCCACCUUUCCUCCAGACGGUGUGUGAAGGCCUGCUGGAGCUUAAAUAAAUAGUAAUUUGCAAUAAUGACAUUUAAUCCUCUUCAAACCAUAAUUUACACUAUCAGACUAUUAUAAUAAUAUUUGAUCUACAGUUUGUAAUGCUUUAUUGUUAUCCCAUUACAGGGAGUUUUGCUGGCACUGCAUAUUGUCUAUUUCUCUUACGAAUGUUCUACAGAAACCUUAUUAAU